rnacentral:lncRNA from 1 species
UUUAUGUGGUAAAGAAUAUCUUUCGAAAGAGGUAGGUUUUUUUAGUGUUUCAGUAUAGGAUAUUAUACAUUGCACUUAAAUUGUGUUAAUCUUUAACAGUUAAACAACUACACAAAAGCGAUCAUCGCAAUAAUAAGCAAAACUCGAAGAUUCUUAAAUAUAUUUUAAAACAUAUGAAACGACUUUUUUUUAUAACGAAAUAGCCAUUUGUUAACUACUGCAGUUUAUGAUUAUGUUUAACAAAAACUAAACAUAUGUCCAGUCUGUUACAAGGUCUAUCUAUACGAUAAAAAAAGAUAAGGACAACAAUUGCGUCACUUUAGUCAGAUACUAGAUAGCAAAAAUGAACAGCGUAUAUUCAUUAUAAGGCCAUUUCAAUUGAUAUUUUAUAGUGUGUCUUUCUAUGAUGUGAAGUUAUACAAUUGUUUCAGGUAAGGUUGAAGAUUGGUAUCUUUUAAAAGGUUUAAACUCGCUGCAUUUGUUUUCACCUGUCUUAUUAAGUCAGGAACCUGAUGUUCAGUUGUUGUCGUUUGUUGAUGUGGUUCAUAAAUGUUUUUCGUUUUUUAUAUAUAUUAGACCGUUGGUUUUUCCGUUUGAAUGGUUUUACGCUAGUCGGUUUUUUUGGGGCCCUUAAUAUAGCUUGCUGUUUGGUGUGAGCCAAAUUGAAUGCUCCGUGUUGAAGACCGUACUUCAAGUUGACCUAUAACGGUUUACUUUUACAAAUUAUGACUUGCAUUGAGAGUUGUCUCAUUGACACUCACGCCACAUCUUCUUAUAUCAGUGAAUUUAAAAUAUGUUCUAAAAUGCAGCAGCUUGUUCCAUUCUUUAGUGUUUCGUCUAACUGUAGAGUUUGAUUUCAGUUUUGAUGUUGUACCGUCUUUGUCUGUAAACACUUUAGAAAAUCUUACUCUGUCACUUUCACCAUGAACUGUCAAAAAUAUUCUUGUCAUUUUAUUUAUUUUCUUUUGUUACAUCUUUUGACAUCAGACUCGGACUUCUCUUGAACUGAAUUUUAAUGUGCGUAUUGUUAUUGUUUUACUUUUCUACAUUGGCUAGAGGUAUAGGGGGAGGGUUGAGAUCUCAUAAACAUGUUUAACCCCGCCGCAAUUUUGCGCCUGUCCCAAGUCAGGAGCCUCUGGCCUUUGUUAGUCUUGUAUGAUUUUAAAUUUUAGUUUCUUGUGUAUAAUUCGGAGUUUAGUAUGACGUCCAUUAUCACUGUACUAUUAUGCAUAUUUUAGGGGCCAGCUGAAGGACACCUACGGGUGCGGGAAUUCUUGCUACAUUGAAGACCCAUUGGUUGCCUUCGGCUGUUGUUUGCUCUAUGGUCGGGUGGUUGUCGCUUUGACAUAUUCACCAUUUCCUUUCUCAAUUUUAUUAAUUGUAAGCAUGUAUUUUGUAUUAUACUCAUAUAAUAAGUAAAGGUGAUAGUCUCUCCGUUCUAAACAAAUCAUAUGAAAUUUUAAACAAAUAAUAUGAAAUUCUAAACAAUAAUAUGAAAUUCUGAACAAAUCAUAGAAUCAUAUUCAAAACAGUGUGGCUGUGGCCAUUGAUUGACGACCUAAAUUGUCCCAUUGACUGGGACAUAUUAGGUGAACGUUUGUCUGUAACGACCACUGCUCACUGCUUACUUAUUAUAGAAUUUUAACUGUGGGGUCUCCAAAGGUUCUUAACGCCUUUAAUAUUAAAAUAAUUCGAAAAAAUAAUCAGGAAUAACUUUAUGUUUUGAUUUAUAUUAUUGAUAUAAAUCAAAACAUCGUGUUAUUACUGAUUAUUUUUUCUAAUUACUUUAUUUAGGUGUUGAGAACCUUUUGUGACCCCAUCAGUUUAAGUGUCGAACGUUCACCUAAUAUGUCCCAGUCAAUGGGAUAAUUUAGGUCGUCAAUCAAUGACCACAGCCACACUGUUUUGAAUAUGAUUCUAUAUGAAACUAAUAGGAGUGGAUACACCAAUUAUCGGGUGCCUCUUUUGACACGCAACAGUUAAAACAAUAGUCAAAAUUUUGUCUGUAUAUGUAAAAAGUUACUUCUGCUUAUUUGUCUGUACAAGUAUAUACAAAAGAUAUAAGUGUGUGUAUUUCCGUUUUUAGCAAGUUACUACUUCACUAUCUAGAAGCAACAUUCGACUAUCAUAGUAGACUAUGAAUGCAUUUUUUUUUUUUGGUUUGCCAGAAGUAUGUGGUUCUGUUAUAGCACACUAGCUUCCUCCGCUUAUAAAAUGCCUAUCAUAAUAUUGCCUAGCGAGCGUUUAAUUCAUAAAUAAGUUAAUCUCUUGUGUACAAUAUAUCUGUUGUAUAACCUCUUUAAAGUCGUACUUACAUGUAUAUAUUAUAUCUGUCUACAUGCAUUCUUUAUGAAUGUUAUUACUUUUCAGCUUAAAUAUGAAAGUCGCCAUAAUCAUCGUCUGUCUGGUUAUUUUGAACAUGUGUGAAGACACAACAUGCGCUACUGACCAAUGUACCUUAGACUGCAUACUUGGUACCAGUACCUGUAUUGGUGGUUGUGCUGGACAAGACAUAUGUCAGAUGCUGUCUUGUCAUUCAAACUGCAAAACUCAAUGCAUACUAUGUACCACAAAGUGUCCUAACCGUGCAGGAACAUCUUGUCAGUUUCAACUUAUAAAUCAAAGAUUUUUGUUUUACAAAUGUUACAAAAAGUAUUUCUAGUUCAUUAAAUUAUGUGCAUGCCAGUUUGAUAAACAAUUAAUACAAUGGAGAUUAAAAUGGGAUAUGUGUCAUAGAGACAACGACCCGACCAAAGAGCAAAAAACAACCGAAAGCCAGCAAUGAACACAGCGAGAAAACUCCGCACCCGAGACGUGUUUCGGUUGUCCCCAAAACAAAUGUGUACUUGUUCAGUGAUAAUGGAGGCCAUACUAAACUCCUAAACAUAUGAAUUACAAUUAAAAAAAAAUCAUGCAAGAUUAACAAAGGUCAGAGGCUCCCCACUUAAUUGUGAAUAUCUAUAGGAUAUCUUAUGAAUUAUAUGAUACCUUGUGGAGUUUUCUAGUAUAAGUUAUCGUAUAUAAUCUAAGCUUUUAUAAGAUAUCUUAUAAACUCCACAAGGUAUCAUAUAAUUCAUAAGAUAUCCCAUACAUAUGUUUAUAUAUAAGAUAUUUUAUAUAGACUAAAUUAAUAUCUACAAAGACAUAUAAUAGUUUUUGGAUUAUAGCUCUUCAUCUUUUAUAUAAGCUUUGGAUUUCAAAUAUUUUGGCCACGAGCAUCACUGAAGAGACAUGUAUUGUCGAAAUGCGCAUCUGGUGCAAGAAAAUUGGUACCGUUAAUUUUAUUACUACCACUGGGUCGAUGCCUCUGCUGGUGGACUAUUAGUCCCCGAGGGUAUCACCACCCCAGUAGCCAGUACUUCGGUACUGGCAUGAAAAUACGGAUUUUUUUGUGUUAUGAAAAUUUACUGUUACAAAAUGAUAGAAAUUAUUAUAAAUUAAGGAAUGUAUCUCCCUCAUGCAAAGCUCUGAUUCCUUUCACGGAUUUGGCUAUACUUUUUGGACCUUUUGGAUUAUAGCUCUUCAUCUUUUAUAUAAGCUUUGGAUUUCAAAUAUUUUGGCCACGAGCAUCACUGAAGAGACAUGUAUUGUCGAAAUGCGCAUCUGGUGCAAGAAAAUUGGUACCGUUAAUUUUAUUACUACCACUGGGUCGAUGCCUCUGCUGGUGGACUAUUAGUCCCCGAGGGUAUCACCAUCCCAGUAGCCAGUACUUCAGUACUGGCAUGAAAAUACGGAUUUUUUGUGUUAUGAAAAUUUACUGUUACAAAAUGAUAGAAAUUAUAAAUUAAGGAAUGUAUCUCCCUCAUGCAAAGCUCUGAUUCCUUUCACGGAUUUGGCUAUACUUUUUGGACCUUUGGAUUAUAGCUCUUCAUCUUUUAUAUAAGCUUUGGAUUUCAAAUAUUUUGGCCACGAGCAUCACUGAAGAGACAUGUAUUGUCGAAAUGCGCAUCUGGUGCAAGAAAAUUGGUACCGUUAAUUUUAUUAUAAGAUAUCUCAUUUUGUUUAGAAGAAAUCGGAUUUAAUUCUAAGAUAUCUUAUUAAGAAAAUUGUAAUAUGAUAUCAUAUACAAAUAUAGCCUUUGUAUGAGGUCGAUACAAGGAUAUAUUGACCUGAAAGAAGUAUAUUGACUGAGGACGAAGUCCGAGGUCGAUAUACUUCUUUGGGUCGAUAUAUUCUGUAUUGACCUCAUACAAAGGCUAUAUUUGUUAUAUUAUUAAUUCCCGACCAUAUUUGUAUCAAAAUCGUCAUUUAGGUUUGUUGGAAUUUUAUAGAUAUUACAUUGUUUCCUUGACAAUAACAACAUAUUAGUUGUUAUUUCAUUUACUUUUUUUUUUUUACAUCUUAUGUAUUUGAAGAUUUUUUUCGUCAAAUAAUCGAUCACAGAUAGCAUGUGUUUCAAAACGUUAAACAAUAUCCUGAAAUUCAUUACAUGACGUCACAAAAUAUAUCGGUUUUUAGAUAUUCUAAAAAUAACCGUGCGAUAUGCUUUUUGCCGGUCAAUAUGCAAUUUGCUAUCCGCCGUUUUCUCUCUACCUUCGAAAAUAUAGUUUAACAUGUGACUAUCCCUAAACGAAUCAAAUUUGUUAAAAUAUACGAAUUAAUAAUAGAUGUCUUGUAAAGUUUAUAAGAUAGCUUAAAGAAAUAACAAAUAGUAAAAGGCUUGCGUUAUACUUCUCCCGACAUCCGACAUGCAAAUUGCAAAACUGCUUUGAUGUGGAGUUGAUGUAAACUGAACUGUCCAUAAGUAGCACAUUGCAAACAUUGCAAAACAAAUAUGUUCUAUAAAUGGCUUAAAGACGAAACAAAAAAUCAAAGAAUAUCUACAUAUAGACUUAUUAAUUCAAUAAUACCUGUUUCCAUUUUCAAAUUAGUUUAAAAAAAAAAUACGUCGAUACCAGAUUAUCGAGGGGUAUCAUGACGAAAAAGAAAGAGAUAGUAUUGUAGUGUACUUGUGUAUGUUCUCUUGUCAAGGUCAAGACCUACAGCCCGUAACAGAGAAGUGAUCGAAUUCGCGUUUCUUUACCGUCAGAAUAAGUGACGUUAUCGACAAACUUAUUUCAGAAGUGACAUAUUAAUUUAAUUUUCUUCAUCGACAAAAUAUUUAAUGUGCAACGUGUAAGUUUUCAUUGUUUAAGUCGAAGUUUUUUUAACACAGUAAAACAUUUUUUAUAAUCAACCUCUGUCAUUGGCAUUUUCAUUUUAACACUGUAAUAGUUUUUCUUUCGUCUGAUACAGAAUACCCGAUAUCUUUUCUUUUUCAUAGCUAUCUGUUUAUUAUGUCCCCGGGAUUAUGUCGAUCAUACAUUGUUGCAAUACCGACAUGCUUGUACUUUGUCACAGAAAAAAACUGAAAUAAAUUUCCUUCAAAUCGAAGUAAAAUAUACAAAUGUACCCUUUAACGUUUGAAAUGUUGAAGACAAAAUUGCUCUAUAUCUUAAGUUAUUGACGAAUAUUUGAAAUUUAAACCUCUAUACGAUGUGAAGUACGGCAUUUCAUUUUAUCAUUGGUAAUGAUCCAUAUCUGACAGAGAAGAAAUAUUCAUAAUUCUCAGAAAGUUUUCAUAAAUAUUGUUAGAUACCACUAAUCGUUCCAACAAUCAAGACAACAGAGACAAAUAUGGAAAAAAAUAUGAAAAUCAAAAGAUAUGACUUAAGUGUUAGCAUGUUCACGGAGACCGCACUCAAUUUACAAAAAAAUAAUUGAUGUUUUAAGGAACUGUAGAGGUCUCCAUAGGUUUUCAACAAGGGUAGAAUUCAAAACCUUGAAUAUGAAAGCCUCGAAAUCCAUGAUACUUUUUCUGUGCGGUAGUUAUAUCUACAAAAUCCAAUCAUGUACACGACAUAUAAUACAUGUAUAUUCAUACAUGUAUAUUUAUAUAAUUGGGAAUUUAUUUUUGUUUCCAAACAGAAUUAUAAGGUUAUGUAUAAGUGCCUCCGUUCACUGCACAAUUGUAAAUUGUCUUCCUAAAGACCAGCAAAAAUAAAUGGCACAAGUUCACGUAGUCAUAAAAAAAGUCGUAUAAUUAUAUAAUAGUUCUUGUAAAACUGGUCAUUAUCGUGAUAUAUGGACUGCCCACAGGACGGUGGUAUUGACUAAGAUAGUGAUAAUGACUGAGCCGAAGGCGAGGUUAUUAUCGCUGUCGCAGUCAAUACCACUGUCCUACGGGCAGUCCAUGUAUCACAAUAAUGACCAGUUUUUCAAGAACUAUUAUGUUUAUUUCAUUGAGAAACCAUGUUUUGGCAAAUUCGCAUAACUUCAAAACGCCUAAAGCAAACUCGAUUAGUUGUAUUUUUUUAUGGCAAAGAGUGAAGACCAGUCGUAGUAAUACUGCCAUGAAUUUAAGUUCAAUUUUUCAGUAUAUAUAAAUACUUAAUCGAGUUCUCUAUAAUUUUAUAAUUAACGAAAACAUCUAAUAAACAAUUCAACAACUUAAAUAUAGUAUUGAAAACAGGAAAAUGUUUUAUUAAAGGGACAUCUCUCUCCAUAACAGAGAAACCACGCCCCUACGGUCAUUAACAGAGACACCACGCCCCAGCGGUCAUUAUCAGACAUAAACCGCGCCCCAGCGGUCAUUAUCAGACGGAAACCACGCCCCACCGGUCAUUAUCAUGUAAAAGUUGGUUAACGACCGGUUUUCUGGUCCGUUUUGUUCUGUUAAUGACCGAUUGAAUUUAUUACUGAAGAAUAAUGAAUGGCAUGUGGCCCCUUUUUAUCCAAUAAUAAAAGCUUAUUCUUAACCGAUAUGAAAUAAUUUACGUUAUCGAACAAAAAAUCAGAAAUACGGAAUAUUAUAUGUGAAUCGUUAGGAAAUCCGUUUCCCCUACAUGUUUUAAAAGUCAAAGAAAAAUGUUUUCCCUGAUACAAACGUUUUAAGAACCAGCUUUGUGUAACCUAUAGACAGAUUCGACUGGAUAUAAGGAAGUUAAUAUGUUUACUCUGAUUUGAAAUUAUCUUUUAGAACUUGUUUAUGGGUAAUAGGUGAAAUGUUGCAUGAUCCCUCAAAAUGACAGCAAGCGCAGUUUUCCGGACGAUUGUACACUGCUAAAAACUGUCAGGUCCUGGCCAUGGUAUAUUUAAGAGAAAAAUUUUUUUACUGAUUUUUACUAGAAAAAAAUAUUCUCUGUGUGUGCCAUUGCAAGAAACAGUUUUGCUCGUUAUUUUGUCAUAUUAAAAAAAAUUCUCAACUAAAUUUUCCCGUUUAAACUAUACUAGAAAAAAGUUUGGCAUGUGAGACAUAUUCUAACAGAAGUACAAAUACAAGUCCUCUCCUUUGUUUAUACAUAUGUGAAAACACUUCAAAGUUAUUGAUUGAAUUCAAAUCCAUAACACAUACGGUACACAUUGUAGUCCGAGAAAAAAAGGACUUCAUUCAGGUAUCAAACACCUUUUUAAUUGUUUACCAGUAAAUUUCUUUUAGUUUUGGGUAAAAUUGUAAAUGAAAUAAUACUAUCAAGACGUCCUUCCAUAAAUCUUUUUUUUCUGUUCUGACUUUGAAGAAAUGACUACUUUUCGCCCAAUCGAAAUGGUGCAUGGACAUAUUUUGUUUCAUAUUAUUAGAAUUAUUUUCAAUAUUAUCAAUAUUAAACUUGAUUAUCGACACAUGAAAGUUUGUCAGCAUUGUCAAUCUUUUUAACGUUAAAGUACCAAUAAAUCGGUCACUACUCAAUUAACUUUGUCGGUAACGUAGCUAAUAUUGACGGUAAAGAAACAUCAAUUCGAUCACUUCUCUGUUACGGGCUGUAUUUUAGAGGUCAUACACCGAAAGAAUGUAUAAAAGAUGGCGUUGUAGUGUACAUAGAUAUAGGAAGAUGUGGUAUCAGUGCCAGUGAGACAACUCUUCAUUCUCAUGUCGAGUUCAAGACCUAUUUUGGAGGCAACACCUCGAAAGGACCAUUUUACGAUUAUUUUAAUUCAGUGUUUUAACUGUUUAAGAGAUAGCAUUUUAGUAUAUAUUAUCUCUUGUGAAGUUCAAGACCUAUUUUGGAUGCCUCACACCGAAAUAACCUUUACACGGUUACUUUUCGUCAGACUGAGUGUUUUUUAAGUGUUUAACAGACUGCGACGUUCCCUUGUGAAGUUCAAGAUCUAUUUUGAAGGCCCAAACCGAAAAGACGUAUUCACGAUUUAUUGAACUUUUAAUAUUGUAAUAACAAGAAUAAAAUUAGUCAGUGUGUUAGUUCAAGGCCACACACCGAAAAGACUACGAUUAUUGUUCGUCAGUAUUUUUUGUCUAAGAUACAGCGUUGAAGUGAACUAUAAAACAGAAGAUUUGGUAUAAUUUCCAAUGAGACAAUUCUCCACAAGAGACCAUAUCAAACAGAAAAUUAACAACUUUAUGUCACCGUAUACAGCCUUCAACAAUGAGAAAAGCCCAUACCGCAUAUUCAGCUAUAAAUGGCCCUGAUACGACAAACGUAAGACAAUUCUAAUGAGAAAAUUAACGGCCUAAUUCAUGUACAAAAAAUGAACGAAAAACAAAUAUGCAACAUAUCACCAAACGACAACCUCCUGACUUGGGACAAGCACAUACAUACAGAAUGUGGCGGGGUUAAACAUGUCUUGUCAUGUUUUGACCCUUAGACAAUAUAUAAGCUUCUGGUAAUCAAAACUAUCAGGAAUAAUUGUUAUCUGUGACUUUAUAAAGAUCCAGUCGUAAUUUAUGUAGGACUUAGGUGACGUUUUCUGUGUAGGUGUGGUAUUGACCUUUUGCCCUUCAGUUGUUAUUGUAAAGUCUUUAAUUGCCAGAGGCAAAGGUUUGAUAUUACAUAACUUUAAAUCCGUUUUUUGCGUACACAUUAUCUACAUUUUCUAUUCUGUAGUGAAUAUUACUUGUGUUCUCAAGAGGUAAGCUAUAGAAAAUGUUAUGGGUAUAAUUGGAGGCAUUUUAAGGUAAACAGGGGCUUUAAGGAGCCGUUGUCGCUCACCUGAAAUUUUGAAAUUGAUGCAUGAAAUAAUGCAAUAAAAAAGGAAUCUGUAUGGAUCAAGUUUGGUUUUUUUAAAUGCUUUCAUCUCAAUUAUCAUUUUAAGUUUUCAAGGUUAAAACACACAUUUCAAGUAUGUCGUGCUGCUGAAAAGAGACAGUAAGUAGAUCCCAACAUUCUGAACAUUUUUGCCCAAUAUAGAUUUUUCUACUCAUAGCAGUUUUCAAGAAAAUAGACACACCUUGCAUUUUACCCCUUUGUUUUACUUUUAGCUACGGCGGCCAUGUUGGUUGGCAGGCUGGAUCAUCAAACACAUUUUCUAAACUAAGUACCUAUAAUAAAAAUUGACAAAAACUCCGUAUAAAGGAGUCAAUUGAAAAUUUGGUCAUAUUAACUUAUUUAAAGAUCUCGCUUUAAAAAACAUUAUUGCUGUUUACAGUUUAUCUUUUUUUUAUCUAUAAUAAUCAUGAAGAUAACCAAAAACUGCAGAAUUUCCUUAAAAUUACAUUUCAAGAGACAGCAACCCAACAACUGGUAGUCUGAUUCGUCUGAAAAUUUGAGAACAUAUAGAUCUAAACUUGAUGAAGAAAUUUUACCCUUGUCAUAUUUGCCGUCUAAAUGCUUGUAAGCUAAAUAUAAGCCAACACUGCAUUUUAUCCUAUUUUAUGUUCUAGUUUUAGCCAUGUUGGUUGGCAGACAGGAUCAUCGGAAACAUUUUUAAAAAGUUCCCAAUUAAUGACUGUGGCCAAGUUUGGUUGAACUCGUAGAUGUAGUUUCAGAGGAGACGAUUUUGGUAAAAAAUUACAUAAAUUUACGAAAAAUUGUAAUACAAUUGAUUAUAAAUGGCAAUAACUCCUUACGGGAUCAAUUAACAAUUUUGGUCAUGAUGACUUAUUUGUAGAUCUUACUUUGCUGAACAUUAUUUUUGCUUACAGUUUAUCUCUAUCUAUAAUAAUAUUCAAGAUAACAAUCAAAAACAGCAAAAUCUAAUCUAAAUUUACUUAUUCAAGGGCAGCAACCCAACUACAUGUUGGCUGAUUCGUCGGAAAAUUCCACGGCAGAUCAUAUCUAAAUCUUUAUAUGUUGUUUUUUUUUUUGUUUUUUUUUUUAGUCAUGGCAGCCAUAUUGGUUGGCAGGCUGGGUUGCUAGAUACCCCAAUAUUGAUUAUGGCCAAGUUUGGUUAAAUUUGUCUUUAGUUUUAGACGGACGCCAAGUGAUGAGAAAAGCUCACUUGACCUUUCAGGCCAGGCGUACGAAAAGUUGACAUUGAGUUGCGGAGUGUACUAUAAAAUUGAAUCAUUUGUAAUUACUUUGGCUAACAAAGAAAACUUUAGAAUACAAGACCAUUUAUAACCUAAAAGUAAACAAGAGAUGUGUUAUAUUAACUUUACAAUUUAUGACAAAAGAUUUGAUUUUCUAGGUUACUGCUGAUCAAAUUUUUGCUUUCGGACAGAAGUUUGAAAAUUGCUACUCGAAUAAAGGCAUCAAUUUUCCUUUUAAGUUAUACAUGAAUAACUUACUGAAAGCAAGCAAUUUAAGAAAAGUAAAUUUGUUCUAAAUUUGGACAAAUUAUAGAAUUUUCCAGAGAAAAAAGUAUAUGUACAUAAGUUUUAUUAAAAUAAAACAUAUGCAUAUUUUGUUUUAAAUUUGAAGUUUCAUAUGACUCUAAGAAUUAUUUUAUUUGGUAUUUUCAGCUUGUUAUGAAACUCGCCUUUACAAUCUUUUGUUUGGUUGUUUUGAGCUUAUUUGGAGACACAGCAUGUGCUACUAACCAAUGCAUCAGCAAUUGCAUAGAUAGUUCCAGUAGCUGUAUCAGGGGUUGUGGUGGAAAAUUUAUUUUCCAGAUGUUGUCAUGCCAUUCAAGUUGCAAAAAUCAAUGUGAACUAUGUACCGUCAAGUGCCCUAACACUGGCAGUUCAGGAAAAACUUGUAAAUUUUAAGUCAUAAAUAAA